rnacentral:rRNA from 1 species
UACGUAGGGUGCAAGCGUUGUCCGGAAUUAUUGGGCGUAAAGAGCUCGUAGGCGGUCUGUCGCGUCGGCUGUGAAAUCCCGAGGCUCAACCUCGGGUCUGCAGUCGAUACGGGCAAACUGGAGUGUUGCAGGGGAGACUGGAAUUCCUGGUGUAGCGGUGAAAUGCGCAGAUAUCAGGAGGAACACCAGUGGCGAAGGCGGUGCUCUGGGCCGGAACUGACGCUGAGGAGCGAAAGCGUGGGGAGCAAACAGG